AGCCUCUAAAGCGACGUGGAUUCUUGGGCCACGCAGCAGGCCCGGGAUCCUUGCAGUGACUCUUAGCGAGGAGUGAGCACGUGGAGCGCACUCUGGAAGCAGCCAAACCUUGCUCAAGAACCACCUUCACAGGCUUGUCCUAAAAGAUAAGAACCCAUCAGGUGUUCCAACCACCAUGACAAUUGAAAGCACAAUUUUUAAAAAAAUGCUCAUUUCAACAAAACGCAGCAAAUACAUUUUUUAAAUGAUGUGCAUAGAACUCAUCACCACCAGCUACAGAUUAAAGUAGGAAACAACGGAUACCUUUUGAGCUUAUACAGCAAAACUGCACCAGCAUUACUGAAAUGUCCAUUGUAAAUUCUGUAGGAAAUAAAUUUAUUUGAAAAUUA